rnacentral:lncRNA from 1 species
CGGAGCUGCUCAGAGGGGAGGGGCAGCGAGCAGGUGCCACGUCCACACCGGGUGAGGCGUGAGGUGAGGGCUCCCCCGCGCCGCCCUGGCGUCCAGGUGGUGAGGGCUGCACGGAAACGUGGACUUCGGCAGAACAUGUGUGCGCCACGGAGCGGCUGCGUGCAGCCCGCAGUUUAGAAACCCAUUUUUGGAGCAAGCAAGCAGACUGAAUGGAAGUGGUGAGAAAAUUAAUCAGCAAAAUCUUCUGAAAUUGGGUGCCUUCUUCUUAAAAGUUUUCUCCCUGUAAUCCUAGGUGCUGUCAGGGAGUAAUAAUUAUUUCCCAUAAACAGCUGGCUCAGUGAUCUAUUUUGCAUGCUGGGGGAAAAGAACUAGCUGUGAUGAGCUCUCCAAAGCUUUUCUCACUAAUGAUGUCUGUGAUACACACUCACACAAAGACCCACAUACAUUCGAAAGGAAGAUACUGCAGAAGAAACUCAUUUACAGUCUUGAUCUACCACAUGCAUUCUGCAGGGUGUUUCAAUGUCACAAGAAAGCAUAAAGAAACCCAUCUAAGUUCCUGUUUGUUUCAGAUGCUCCUUGAAGAUGGGAGAGAGAGCUGGAGCUCAUCUGUCCUGGCAUCAGAGAACCGUGACUCCGGAGGGUGGGAGAGGCAGGCCCGAGUCAUCUCUGCCCUGGGGCCCCUUCCCAAUGUGUCCUGUCUUCCUCCCUAGUGAGGGGAGUCUAAUUUAGAGUGGGAAGUGGAGAGGAAUGCUGGCCAGGUGGGAAGUUGGGGGGCUGCGCCAUGACCCGCCACACUUGGCUGGGUGGCUCCAGGGAACAUCCUCUGCCUCCCCUCCAGUGCAGGAGUGAGUGAAGCAGCUGCCUCUGUGGCUGCCGACGCUGGCUACGCACAGCAAGGGAGGAGGCUGAGACAUGAGGAAACCUGGCCCUCUAGGCGGGCACUUUGGAAGCUCGCUGGCAUGCUGCUGGAGACCCACCGGCAACCACGAGGACAAGUGGGGACCUGGUGACAUUCCAGCUCUGCCAGCCCUCCCAGAAUAAAGGGGAAUGGCAGCAAAUCAAGAGGCGGAGGCGUUUCAAUGCCAUUUUGCUGUGCUGACUUUUCCUUUUGGACAUUGCGAACAAGAGAAGAAAGCAGCUCCCUUAACUGUAGUACAAAAAAAAUUCAGAAAAGAGGGCAUUUUAAGGGUAACAUUUUUCUUGCUGCAAUGACUCAUGGAAGACAGAAAGUGAGAGGCUUGCUGAAAGGCGAAAGACAGAGCCAAAAAAGCAAAACUCAAGUCCUAUUUACAAAACGACGGGCCACAACGGACUCUCCAGUAACAUGAUAUUGUACAUUGUCCUUUAAAUCCUGAACAGAUCUUCCUUCCAAAUCCUUUACUGCCUCAGAGUUGUUAAUCACAAAAUGAAGGUUUCUGCCACCAAAAAAAAUUGACCACAGAUGUUUCCAGAAAAGAAAGAGGAAAGAACAGCCAUUCACCACGCCCGUGUGGGGUGUUGAGGCUGCAAUGCUGAGGUCCCUGAAAACACAGGCAUGAGCAGUGCUUGUCCUUUCCAGGGACCCGAGGACAGCGAGUCACAGAGCGGCUGCAGGUGCAAGGCCAUUCCUCAUAGAAACCGUGUGUCCAGGUGUCAGGCAUAUUUGUCAUGGUUCCUCAAAGGGGAAACAUUCAUUUAUAAUUUUGAAAAACAAAAACAAAAGAACGACAUGAAAGGAGAGGCCUUAACUAAAAAGAACAAUUCACAAUUGCCAAGCAGUUGAGGAGGUCUUAUAAGAAACUCUGGGAGUUAAACAAGAAGUCAAAAGGGCUGGAUUUCACGGGCAGCGUCCUCCUUACCUUCUUGUGCUAGAAGGCUGGAUCUGGGGCUUUUCAAAGGCAAUGAAGACAGGCCAGGCACGGUGGCUCAGGGCUGUAAUCCCAGCACUUUGGGAGGCUGAGGUGGGUGGAUCACCUGAGGUCAGGAGUUCAAGACCGUCCUGGCCAACAUGGAGAAACGCUGUCUCUAUUAAAAAUACAAAAAUUAGCUGGGUGUGGUGGCAGGUGCCUGUAGUUCCAGCUACCCGUGAGCCUGAGGCAGGGGAAUCACUUGAUUCCCGCCAGGAGGCGGAGGUUGCAGUGAGCCGAGAUCCCACCGCUGUGCUCCAGCCUGGCCGACAGAGUGAGACUCUGUCUCACAAAACAAACAAACACAACAAAGGCAAAUAAAAUCGUUGUUUGAGCAGCCACAUGACGUUCAGUCUUAUGUAUUCUCCAGAUAUAUUAACAGAACUGUAAGUUUUCAAGCAG